rnacentral:rRNA from 1 species
GACGAACGCUGGCGGCGUGCCUAAUACAUGCAAGUAGAACGCUGAAGGAGGAGCUUGCUUCUCUGGAUGAGUUGCGAACGGGUGAGUAACGCGUAGGUAACCUGCCUGGUAGCGGGGGAUAACUAUUGGAAACGAUAGCUAAUACCGCAUAAUAGUAGAUGUUGCAUGACAUUUGCUUAAAAGGUGCAAUUGCAUCGCUACCAGAUGGACCUGCGUUGUAUUAGCUAGUUGGUGGGGUAACGGCUCACCAAGGCGACGAUACAUAGCCGACCUGAGAGGGUGAUCGGCCACACUGGGACUGAGACACGGCCCAGACUCCUACGGGAGGCAGCAGUAGGGAAUCUUCGGCAAUGGACGGAAGUCUGACCGAGCAACGCCGCGUGAGUGAAGAAGGUUUUCGGAUCGUAAAGCUCUGUUGUAAGAGAAGAACGAGUGUGAGAGUGGAAAGUUCACACUGUGACGGUAUCUUACCAGAAAGGGACGGCUAACUACGUGCCAGCAGCCGCGGUAAUACGUAGGUCCCGAGCGUUGUCCGGAUUUAUUGGGCGUAAAGCGAGCGCAGGCGGUUAGAUAAGUCUGAAGUUAAAGGCUGUGGCUUAACCAUAGUACGCUUUGGAAACUGUUUAACUUGAGUGCAAGAGGGGAGAGUGGAAUUCCAUGUGUAGCGGUGAAAUGCGUAGAUAUAUGGAGGAACACCGGUGGCGAAAGCGGCUCUCUGGCUUGUAACUGACGCUGAGGCUCGAAAGCGUGGGGAGCAAACAGG